UACGUAGGGGGCUAGCGUUGUCCGGAUUUAUUGGGCGUAAAGAGCGUGUAGGCGGCCAGGUAGGUCUGCUGUGAAAACUCGAGGCUUAACCUCGAGAUGUCGGCGGAAACCAUCUGGCUAGAGUCCGGAAGAGGAGAGUGGAAUUCCUGGUGUAGCGGUGAAAUGCGCAGAUAUCAGGAAGAACACCGGUGGCGCAAGCGGAUUGCUGGGCCAUAACUGACACUGAGGAACGAAAGCUAGGGUAGCGAAUGGG
rnacentral:rRNA from 1 species